CCCUUCCAGAGGGGGACGAACAGUUGGAAACGACUGCUAAUACCGCAUACGAUUCAACCUCGGCAUCGAGGAUGGAUGAAAGGUGGCCUCUAUUUAUAGGCUAUCACUGAAGGAGGGGAGUUGCGUCUGAUUAGCUAGUUGGAGGGGUAACGGGCCCACCAAGGCAAUGAUCAGUAGCCGGUCUGAGAGGAUGAACGGCCACAUUGGGACUGAGACACGGCCCAGACUCCUACGGGAGGCAGCAUG
rnacentral:rRNA from 1 species